rnacentral:rRNA from 1 species
GAUGAACGCUAGCUACAGGCUUAACACAUGCAAGUCGAGGGGCAGCAUGUCGGUUGCUUGCAACCGACGAUGGCGACCGGCGCACGGGUGAGUAACGCGUAUCCAACCUACCCUUGUCCAUCGGAUAACCCGUCGAAAGGCGGACUAACACGAUAUGCAGUCCACAGCAGGCAUCUAACGUGGACGAAAUGUGAAGGAGAAGGAUGGGGAUGCGUCUGAUUAGCUUGUUGGCGGGGUAACGGCCCACCAAGGCGACGAUCAGUAGGGGUUCUGAGAGGAAGGUCCCCCACAUUGGAACUGAGACACGGUCCAAACUCCUACGGGAGGCAGCAGUGAGGAAUAUUGGUCAAUGGGCGAGAGCCUGAACCAGCCAAGUAGCGUGUGGGGACGAAUGCCCUAUGGGGUUGUAAACCACUUUUGCAGGAGGGUAAAAUGCUUCACGUGUGGAGUAUUGCAAGUAUCCUGCGAAUAAGGACCGGCUAAUUCCGUGCCAGCAG